GCUUUGUAAAUAGUUAUUCUUCUGUUUUUGAGGAUUGAGGUUUCUUGUGGUGUGAUAGUGUGGAACGCCAUGAUAUUGCUAUCUUGUGCACAUCCUCAAGUUUAAAUCAGCAUAUCUGAGUUCAAGUCAUCAGUGGUAGAUAACCAUGUAAAAUGUCUGGACGAGGAUUUGACCUACUUUGCUGAAGAUCUAAAGCACGAAGGAAAAAUCCCCCCGGAUGAGCCUGCAAUUCUUCCUCCAUUGCCUAUUGUUCCUAAGCUUGAGAAGCUCAAGCCCAUUUAUUUUACACCCCAAUCAAAGAGGCUGGAUUACAGGGAUAGAGACUGGGAUUGAGAACGUGAUAGGGAUUUAGAGCUCAUGCCUCCUCCAGGAAGCCAUAAGAAAGAUUUUGCUCCCUCUGUUGAUGUUGAUCAACCCAUUGAUCCAAAUGAACCUACUUAUUGUGUCUGCCAUCAGAUUCUGCCUUGUUUUAGGUUUUUGUACCGAUUUACUUAAUUUUCCUCGUUGCUUCUUGGUUUAGAUGCAUUUGUUUUGUACCUUAUUUAGGUAUCAUUUGGAGAUAUGAUUGCCUGUGACAAAGAAGAUGUGAGUUAUUUCGUCUUAGUCUUCAUCUCUUUAUUUAUAUAUUUAGUAGUAUUUUUAUUUCCUUACUUGCCUGUGUUAUAUUUAACUGUUAAUCGUUUAGUAUUCUCAUAUUAAUUUCAUCAAGUUUAGGGUUUGUUAAAAAAAUUCCAAUAUUUUCAUGCAUUUGGAAGGUUCUCGAUAGAUUAUAUCCCCCAUACCAUGUUUGAAUAUGAUUCGAGCAUAGGUGUAACUAACAGUUCUAUUUAUUUAGUGCCAAGGAGGUGAAUGGUUCCAUUAUGCAUGUGUGGGGCUGAUUUCGGAUACAAGAUUCAAGGGAAAAUAGUACUGUCCAACCUGUAGACUGCUUCCACAAUGCCAAUAAUGAUACAUAUGUAUUUUGCAUGAUU